UUUGAUUCAUGGCUCAGGACGAACGCUGGCGGCGUGCUUAACACAUGCAAGUCGAACGAUGAAGCCUUUCGGGGUGGAUUAGUGGCGAACGGGUGAGUAACACGUGGGCAAUCUGCCCUUCACUCUGGGACAAGCCCUGGAAACGGGGUCUAAUACCGGAUAACACUCUGUCCCGCAUGGGACGGGGUUAAAAGCUCCGGCGGUGAAGGAUGAGCCCGCGGCCUAUCAGCUUGUUGGUGGGGUAAUGGCCUACCAAGGCGACGACGGGUAGCCGGCCUGAGAGGGCGACCGGCCACACUGGGACUGAGACACGGCCCAGACUCCUACGGGAGGCAGCAGUGGGGAAUAUUGCACAAUGGGCGAAAGCCUGAUGCAGCGACGCCGCGUGAGGGAUGACGGCCUUCGGGUUGUAAACCUCUUUCAGCAGGGAAGAAGCGAAAGUGACGGUACCUGCAGAAGAAGCGCCGGCUAACUACGUGCCAGCAGCCGCGGUAAUACGUAGGGCGCAAGCGUUGUCCGGAAUUAUUGGGCGUAAAGAGCUCGUAGGCGGCUUGUCACGUCGGAUGUGAAAGCCCGGGGCUUAACCCCGGGUCUGCAUUCGAUACGGGCUAGCUAGAGUGUGGUAGGGGAGAUCGGAAUUCCUGGUGUAGCGGUGAAAUGCGCAGAUAUCAGGAGGAACACCGGUGGCGAAGGCGGAUCUCUGGGCCAUUACUGACGCUGAGGAGCGAAAGCGUGGGGAGCGAACAGGAUUAGAUACCCUGGUAGUCCACGCCGUAAACGUUGGGAACUAGGUGUUGGCGACAUUCCACGUCGUCGGUGCCGCAGCUAACGCAUUAAGU
rnacentral:rRNA from 6 species